GGAAUUGUUCGCAAUGGGCGCAAGCCUGACGACGCAACGCCGCGUGGAGGAUGAAGGUCUUCGGAUUGUAAACUCCUGUUGCCCGGGACGAAAAGCUCCGACCUAACACGUCGGAGUCUGACGGUACCGGGCGAGGCAGCCCCGGCCAACCCUGCGCCAGCAGCCGCGGUAAUACAGAGGGGGCAAGCGUUGUUCGGAAUUACUGGGCGUAAAGGGCGCGUAGGCGGCCUGUUAAGUCGAACGUGAAAUCCCCGAGCUCAACUCGGGAACUGCGUCCGAUACUGGUUGGCUUGAAUCCGGGAGAGGGAUGUGGAAUUCCAGGUGUAGCGGUGAAAUGCGUAGAUAUCUGGAGGAACACCGGUGGCGAAGGCGACAUCCUGGACCGGUAUUGACGCUGAGGCGCGAAAGCCAGGGGAGCAAAC
rnacentral:rRNA from 1 species